rnacentral:rRNA from 1 species
GAUGAUGGCUCUGAUUGAACGCUAUCCUAGUGCUUGACACAUGCUAAUCGAACGUCUAAUUUCAUUAGAAAUAAUUUAGUUAGAAGUGGUGUACAGGUGAGUAAAUGAUAUUAUGGCUACCUUGGAGUAAGGGACAUUAAAAUCCCUUAUAUAUCAAACUAAUGUUUGCAUUAAAAGAAAUUUAUUUUCGCUCCUAGAUGGAAAUUAAUAUCUCGGACAGGUAGUAGUUAAGGUAAUGGCUUAACUAGCUUAUGUCCGUAGUUCGAGACUGAGAGGUCGAUCGAUCACAUUGGGUCUGAAAAAACCCCAAUACGUAUAGUACAGCAGUGAGGAAUAUUGGUCAAUGGCCUAACGGCUGAACCAGCAACUUGGGGGAAUGGAUAUAUAUAUUAGAGAUAAUAUAUAGUACCGACUUUGUCGGAUAAAGUUCUAGAUAGAAUAAUGAUAAUGACAAUUUUCUAUCUAUAUGUCUUGACCAAAUCUUGUGCCAGCAGUCGCGGCAACACAAGGGAGACUAGUGUUAUUCAUCUUUAUUAGGUUUAAAGGGUACCUAGACGGUAUAUCAUGCCCCAAAAGGGAACGGAUAUACUAGAGUUUUAUGUGAGAGGCAAAUAUAGUACUAUUGGUGUAGAGAUAAAAUUCAUUGAUACCUCUAGGCACGGGUAACGGCGAAGGCAAUCCUCUAUGUAAAAACUGACGUUGAGGGACGAAGGCUCGGGUAGCGAAUAGGAUUAGAUACCCUAGUAGUCCGGGCAGACAAUUAUGAAUGUCAUAGAUUAGAAAUAUUUGGUCUAUAAAUGAAAGUGUAAGCAUUCCACCUCAAGAGUAAGGCGGCAACGUUGGAACUGAAAUCAUUAGACCGUUUCUGAAACCAGUAGUGAAGUAUGUUAUUUAAUUCGAUGAUCCGC